rnacentral:rRNA from 1 species
UACGUAGGGUCCGAGCGUUACUCGGAAUUACUGGGCGUAAAGCGUGCGCAGGCGGUUUUGUAAGCCUGAUGUGAAAGCCCCGGGCUUAACCUGGGAAUGGCAUUUGGGACUGCAAGGCUGGAGUACGGCAGAGGGAGGUGGAAUUCCAGGUGUAGCAGUGAAAUGCGUAGAUAUCUGGAGGAACACCGAUGGCGAAGGCAGCCUCCUGGGCUAGUACUGACGCUCAUGCACGAAAGCGUGGGGAGCAAACAGG